AUAUUUAUCCUAUCAAUUAAAUCCAAUUUGCUAACCCUGUUCUCUCUCUCCUAACCCAACACAGACGCUUCUUAUCCUCCCUUUCCUCUUCUUCACAAAAUUUCAUCCUUGAUCAAUCAUGGCAGAACUUGUCAUUACCAUUUUUGAACAAGAAGCUCUGCACCCCAUUUAAUUUUCUUCAACAUCAACGUUCAAAUUUCAAAACGUUCAAUAGCUUUUCACUCAAUUUCGAAAUCCCGCCUAAAUCAAAAACCCUUGAAAUCAGCUUAUAAAUACCCGCCUUUGAAGAGAUUUUCGAUGAAGCUUCAGCCCCCUCCUUUAACCUGAGGCUCAGAGCUGCCCACUUUCACCCCCAAAGUUGGAAUCCUCAGCUCCCUCUAACCUUUGUUUAGCCGCCAUCCCUUCCUCUCAAAAUUUCCUUCUUUUUAAUCUCUAAGUUCUGUUGGUUUAACCAAAACAGAAACAUUUUUUAUUUCUUUGUCCUAGCGAUUAACGUUGAUUCGAGGUAGCGAGUCCGAGGUCGGAGUUUGAUAGUGCACCUUAGAUCCCCGCCUCAGUUCACUGCCCUGCAAGAGAUCCGUAUCUUCUUCUCCUUCGCUAUAGGAAUCUUAAUGCUAGACUUUCAUACCCGCAUAUGGAGUCUUCAUUCGGAACUUGCAAAGAUGGUGUUUCAUCACCACCAGAUAGAGUCAAUACACGACAUAUCAUCCUUAGAAUGCACCGGAUAGCGAGAAAAUAAGCUAAACGCUUGGGGUCCUUCUUCUUCUUCUAAUUCUUUUGCCAUUCAUCUUAUCUAAUUUUUGUGAUUGUUAAUUUACUUGUGUAUUUGGAUUUGAUCACAAGUUUGGGCUUAAUCAGAUAGGUUCUUUGCUCUAGCAUACUAAUGGUGAUUAGAAUAAGAAAUUUAAGAUCGUUUUUAGUGACUUUUUCAAUUAUGUAAAACCGAGUCUUUUCUAAGAAAAUUAACCUGUGAAAUUUUAACAA